AGUGGCGGACGGGUGAGUAAUGUCUGGGAAACUGCCUGAUGGAGGGGGAUAACUACUGGAAACGGUAGCUAAUACCGCAUAACGUCGCAAGACCAAAGAGGGGGACCUUCGGGCCUCUUGCCAUCGGAUGUGCCCAGAUGGGAUUAGCUUGUUGGUGGGGUAACGGCUCACCAAGGCGACGAUCCCUAGCUGGUCUGAGAGGAUGACCAGCCACACUGGAACUGAGACACGGUCCAGACUCCUACGGGAGGCAGCAGUGGGGAAUAUUGCACAAUGGGCGCAAGCCUGAUGCAGCCAUGCCGCGUGUAUGAAGAAGGCCUUCGGGUUGUAAAGUACUUUCAGCGGGGAGGAAGGGAGUAAAGUUAAUACCUUUGCUCAUUGACGUUACCCGCAGAAGAAGCACCGGCUAACUCCGUGCCAGCAGCCGCGGUAAUACGGAGGGUGCAAGCGUUAAUCGGAAUUACUGGGCGUAAAGCGCACGCAGGCGGUUUGUUAAGUCAGAUGUGAAAUCCCCGGGCUCAACCUGGGAACUGCAUCUGAUACUGGCAAGCUUGAGUCUCGUAGAGGGGGGUAGAAUUCCAGGUGUAGCGGUGAAAUGCGUAGAGAUCUGGAGGAAUACCGGUGGCGAAGGCGGCCCCCUGGACGAAGACUGACGCUCAGGUGCGAAAGCGUGGGGAGCAAACAGGAUUAGAUACCCUGGUAGUCCACGCCGUAAACGAUGUCGACUUGGAGGUUGUGCCCUUGAGGCGUGGCUUCCGGAGCUAACGCGUUAAGUCGACCGCCUGGGGAGUACGGCCGCAAGGUUAAAACUCAAAUGAAUUGACGGGGGCCCGCACAAGCGGUGGAGCAUGUGGUUUAAUUCGAUGCAACGCGAAGAACCUUACCUGGUCUUGACAUCCACGGAAGUUUUCAGAGAUGAGAAUGUGCCUUCGGGAACCGUGAGACAGGUGCUGCAUGGCUGUCGUCAGCUCGUGUUGUGAAAUGUUGGGUUAAGUCCCGCAACGAGCGCAACCCUUAUCCUUUGUUGCCAGCGGUCCGGCCGGGAACUCAAAGGAGACUGCCAGUGAUAAACUGGAGGAAGGUGGG
rnacentral:rRNA from 1 species